GGACCGUGGAGCAGGGCGGGCUCGUCGGCGACUUCAAGUCGCUCGACAGCAAGUCGUGGUUCGACGCCGCCACGGUCCG
rnacentral:tRNA from 1 species